rnacentral:rRNA from 1 species
UACAGAGGGUGCAAGCGUUAAUCGGAAUUACUGGGCGUAAAGCGCGCGUAGGUGGUUUGUUAAGUUGAAUGUGAAAUCCCCGGGCUCAACCUGGGAACUGCAUCCAAAACUGGCAAGCUAGAGUAUGGUAGAGGGUGGUGGAAUUUCCUGUGUAGCGGUGAAAUGCGUAGAUAUAGGAAGGAACACCAGUGGCGAAGGCGACCACCUGGACUGAUACUGACACUGAGGUGCGAAAGCGUGGGGAGCGAACAGG